rnacentral:rRNA from 1 species
CGAACGCUGGACGGCAUGCCUAACACAUGCAAGUCGAACGAACCCUUCGGGGUGAGUGGCGCACGGGUGCGUAACACGUGGGAACCUACCCUCGAGUGGGGAAUAACCAACCGAAAGGUUGGCUAAUGCCGCGUACGACUUCCGGUCCUGCGGGAUCGGAAGGAAAGCUCUGCCGUGGGCAGGGCGCUCAAGGAUGGGCUCACGUCCUAUCAGCUUGUUGGUGAGGUAACGGCUCACCAAGGCUUCGACGGGUAGCUGGUCUGAGAGGACGAUCAGCCACACUGGCACUGCGACACGGGCCAGACU